CCACCCUUUAAUGUUUGAUGUUCUAACGUGGACCCGUAAUCCGGGUUGCGGACAGUGUCUGGUGGGUAGUUUGACUGGGGCGGUCUCCUCCUAAAGAGUAACGGAGGAGCACGAAGGUUGGCUAAUCCUGGUCGGACAUCAGGAGGUUAGUGCAAUGGCAUAAGCCAGCUUGACUGCGAGCGUGACGGCGCGAGCAGGUGCGAAAGCAGGUCAUAGUGAUCCGGUGGUUCUGAAUGGAAGGGCCAUCGCUCAACGGAUAAAAGGUACUCCGGGGAUAACAGGCUGAUACCGCCCAAGAGUUCAUAUCGACGGCGGUGUUUGGCACCUCGAUGUCGGCUCAUCACAUCCUGGGGCUGAAGUAGGUCCCAAGGGUAUGGCUGUUCGCCAUUUAAAGUGGUACGCGAGCUGGGUUUAGAACGUCGUGAGACAGUUCGGUCCCUAUCUGCCGUGGGCGCUGGAGAACUGAGGGGGGCUGCUCCUAGUACGAGAGGACCGGAGUGGACGCAUCACUGGUGUUCGGGUUGUCAUGCCAAUGGCACUGCCCGGUAGCUAAAUGCGGAAGAGAUAAGUGCUGAAAGCAUCUAAGCACGAAACUUGCCCCGAGAUGAGUUCUCCCUGAGACUUAGAGUCUCCUGAAGGAACGUUGAAGACGACGACGUUGAUAGGCCGGGUGUGUAAGCGCAGCGAUGCGUUGAGCUAACCGGUACUAAUGAACCGUGAGGCUUAACCUUACAACGCCGAAG
rnacentral:rRNA from 2 species